AACUCACAAGUGACCAUAUUCCAAUAGUAAUUGCAGCAUCUUUGCUGCUACAGCAGCAGCAUGCUGUUACUCCCAUUGAA
ensembl:ncRNA W06F12.6 ncRNA